rnacentral:rRNA from 1 species
AGUGAACGCUGGCGGCGUGCCUAAUACAUGCAAGUCGAACGGAGUGGCGCACGGGUGAGUAAUGUAUAGCUAAUCUGCCCUACACUAGAGGACAACAGUUGGAAACGACUGCUAAUACUCUAUAGUGUAGGCAGUGGCUAUAUUGUUUCAUCUAGUUGGUGAGGUAUUGGUUCACCAAGGCUAUGACGCAUACCUGGUCUGAGAGGAUGAUCAGUCACACGUGAGCGGAGACACGGUCCAGACUCCUACGGGAGGCAGCAGUAGGGAAUAGUGCUCAAUGGGGGGAACCCUGAAGCAGCAACGCCGCGUGGAGGAUGACACUUUUCGGAGCGUAAACUCCUUUUGUUAGGGAAGCGGUACCUAACGAAUAAGCACCGGCUAACUCCGUGCCAGCAGCCGCGGUAAUAC